UACGUAGGGUCCAAGCGUUAUCCGGAAUCACUGGGCGUAAAGCGUGCGUAGGCGGCGUGUCAAGUCAGGCGUGAAAGCCCCGGGCUCAACCUGGGAACCGCGCUUGAGACUGGCAUGCUCGAGUUCGGGAGAGGAUGGUGGAAUUCCCAGUGUAGAGGUGAAAUUCGUAGAUAUUGGGAAGAACACCGAUGGCGAAGGCAGCCAUCUGGACCGACACUGACGCUGAGGCGCGAAAGCGUGGGGAGCAAACAGG
rnacentral:rRNA from 1 species